UACAAGAGUCCAGAACAAGAUUUUUGUG
rnacentral:piRNA from 1 species